CCUACGGGGGGCAGCAGUGGGGAAUAUUGCACAAUGGGGGAAACCCUGAUGCAGCGACGCCGCGUGAGUGAAGAAGUAUUUCGGUAUGUAAAGCUCUAUCAGCCGGGGAGAAAAUGACGGUACCUGAUUACGAAGCCCCGGCUAACUACGUGCCAGCAGCCGCGGUACUACGCAGGGGGCAAGCGUUAUCCGGAUUUACGGGGUGGAAAGGGAGCGUAGACGGCAGCACAAGUCUGGAGUGAAAUGCCGGGGGUUAAACCCGGAACGGCUUUGGAAACUGUGUAGCUAGAGUGCAGGAGAGGUAAGUGGAAUGCCUAGUGUAGCGGUGAAAUGCGUAGAUAUUAGGAGGAACACCAGUGGCGAAGGCGGCUUACUGGACUGUAACUGACGUUGAGGCUCGAAAGCGUGGGGAGCAAACAGGAUUAGAUACCCGAGUAGUC
rnacentral:rRNA from 1 species